CAUUGCUUGCUGCAAUAGAUUCUUCUCUGGAACUGUGCAAAGCAGAGGUUGGUGGCCUUGGAGGCAGCUACGGAUUUGUGAGAUGAAGUGGAACAACGGUACCCAGGGCAAAAAAAGAGCCCUGAAGCACGAUCUGAGGAGUUGAGGUUGAGAUGUGGCAAGCUGGAAGGCAACAGCAGUUGGCCUAUUAAAAGGGCAGCAAUUACUGAGUAGGAGGCUUUUCUUGAAUGGAGCACUUAUCACUUAUAUUAGAAUAACCAGUGUAGAGAAGUCCUUAAAUGACCUGAAGGAGCUGAAAACCAUGGCACGAGAACUACCUGACACAUGCAUAAGCUUCAGGAGCCAAUUU
rnacentral:lncRNA from 10 species